rnacentral:rRNA from 1 species
CCUACGGGGGGCAGCAGUGAGGAAUAUUGGUCAAUGGUCGAGAGCCUGAACCAGCCAAGUCGCGUGAGGGAGUAAUGCCCUAUGGGUUGUAAACCUCUUUUGUCGGGGAGCAAAAGCCGGACGUGUCCGGCUGUUAGAUUACCCGAAGAAAAAGCAUCGGCUAACUCCGUUCCAGCAGCCGCGGUAAUUCGGAGGAUGCGAGCGUUAUCCCGAUUUAUUGGGUUUAAAGGGUGCGCAGGCGGAUUUUUAAGUCAGCGGUCAAAUCGUGGGGCUCAACCCCAUCCAGCCGUUGAAACUGGGGAUCUAGAGUGUGCGAGAGGUAUGCGGAAUGCGUGGUGUAGCGGUGAAAUGCAUAGAUAUCACGCAGAACCCCGAUUGCGAAGGCAGCAUACCGGUGCACAACUGACGCUCAGGCACGAAAGCGUGGGUAUCGAACAGGAUUAGAUACCCGUGUAGUC